rnacentral:rRNA from 1 species
UACGGGGGGGGCAAGCGUUGUUCGGAAUUACUGGGCGUAAAGCGCACGUAGGCGGACCAGCAAGUUGGGGGUGAAAUCCCGGGGCUCAACCCCGGAACUGCCUUCAAAACUGCGGGUCUGGAGGUCGAGAGAGGUGAGUGGAAUUCCGAGUGUAGAGGUGAAAUUCGUAGAUAUUCGGAGGAACACCAGUGGCGAAGGCGGCUCACUGGCUCGAUACUGACGCUGAGGUGCGAAAGCGUGGGGAGCAAACAGG